rnacentral:rRNA from 1 species
GUCUACGGCCAUACCACGUUGAAAGCACCAGUUCUCGUCCGAUCACUGAAGUUAAGCAACGUCGGGCUUGGUUAGUACUUGGAUGGGUGACCGCCUGGGAACACCGAGUGCUGUAGACU